UACGGAGGGUGCGAGCGUUGUCCGGAAUCACUGGGCGUAAAGGGCGCGUAGGCGGCCUGCUAAGUCGAACGUGAAAUCCCUGGGCUCAACCCAGGAACUGCGUCCGAUACUGGUUGGCUUGAAUCCGGGAGAGGGAUGUGGAAUUCCAGGUGUAGCGGUGAAAUGCGUAGAUAUCUGGAGGAACACCGGUGGCGAAGGCGACAUCCUGGACCGGUAUUGACGCUGAGGAGCGAAAGCGUGGGGAGCGAACAGG
rnacentral:rRNA from 1 species